CUUCCCAUUCCGAACAGAGAAGUUAAGCCCACCCACGCCGAUGGUACUGCCCAAAAGGUGGAAGAGUAGGUAGCCGCCAAAC
rnacentral:rRNA from 1 species